rfam:Pochonia chlamydosporia 170 chromosome 4, whole genome shotgun sequence.
UACUGGGUGACUUGAUGGUAGAGCAUCUGGCUGCAAUACAGUAUUAUUAUAGUAUUCUUAGUAGUCAGAAGAUGCAGGUUCAAGUCCAGUCCCGGUUA